GACGAACGCUGGCGGCGUGCUUAACACAUGCAAGUCGAACGGAAAGGCCCUGCUUUUGUGGGGUGCUCGAGUGGCGAACGGGUGAGUAACACGUGAUUAACCUGACCUUGACUUUGGGAUAACUUCAGGAAACUGGGGCUAAUACCGGAUAGGAGCUCCUGCGGCAUGGUGGGGGUUGGAAAGUUUCGGCGGUUGGGGAUGGACUCGCGGCUUAUCAGCUUGUUGGUGGGGUAGUGGCUUACCAAGGCUUUGGCGGGUAGCCGGCCUGAGAGGGUGACCGGCCACAUUGGGACUGAGAUACGGCCCAGACUCCUACGGGAGGCAGCAGUGGGGAAUAUUGCACAAUGGGCGGAAGCCUGAUGCAGCAACGCCGCGUGCGGGAUGACGGCCUUCGGGUUGUAAAACGCUUUCGCCUGUGACGAAGCGUGAGUGACGGUAAUGGGUGAAGAAGCACCGGCUAACUACGUG
rnacentral:rRNA from 1 species